rnacentral:rRNA from 1 species
AAAUUCCACCAUCUCCCAAAAAGAGAUGUCUUAAAGAAAAAAUUAUCAAUCAUGCAAAGGUAUCUCUGCGGGAUGAAAUAUAUGACGAGAUUCUCAGACAUCCGGAUCAUCCUUGAUCAGCAAAAAGACUAUAUACUUCGAGAAUGUGUUAUUUUGGGGAUUUGUACUAUUUCUUUAGUCGAUGCAACUUGUGACCCGGAUCUCAUGAAUAUUUUGAUUCCAGCCAAUGAUGAUAUUAUGGCUUCAAUUCGAUUGAUUCUUAGCAAAUUAGUAUUUGCAAUUUGUGAGGGUCAUCCUCUCUACAUAAGAAAUCGAUCAAUACGAAUAUAUAGUGAAUUCUUGAGCAACUGCGUAGAUUUAUGGAAUCACUUACUCUUUUUUCUAGACAGAAAAAAGAAGGGGCUAGUACAACCUCCGAACUUUACUUAUAUUUUGAAGAGCAUCUCCAACACGUGA